rnacentral:rRNA from 1 species
UACGUAGGGGGCGAGCGUUGUCCGGAUUUAUUGGGCGUAAAGAGCUCGUAGGCGGCUUGGCAAGUCGGGUGUGAAACCUCCAGGCUCAACCUGGAGACGCCACUCGAUACUGCCGUGGCUAGAGUCCGGUAGGGGACCACGGAAUUCCUGGUGUAGCGGUGAAAUGCGCAGAUAUCAGGAGGAACACCGGUGGCGAAGGCGGUGGUCUGGGCCGGCACUGACGCUGAGGAGCGAAAGCGUGGGUAGCAAACAGG